rnacentral:lncRNA from 1 species
GCGACUGCCUGUGUGCCUCCAUUGGCAUCUCUGCCUGUGGGCCCCAGGCCAGAAGUAAUGGCCCAUGUAGCCCAGGCCCGGGGGCCAGUCCUCAGCAUUUUGCGGAGGGGCGGCCUGGGAGGGGAGGAGGGGAUCCCUGGAUAGGGGGUCUCCCCUGGUCUGCCCCAGCUGUGCCGACAGCACCUCCACCUUGGGCCUCCAUCCUCUACCAGCAGAGAAGAGAGUGGCCCAUUCGGUGUCCACCCGUCAGGCCACCCAGCAGCCAGGCACGCUCAUAAGCCCGCGUUACGGAUGGUGCGGCCGGGUGCACAGGCCCGAGGGAAGCACAGGCCUCGGCCUCCCAGCUCCCAACCCCUGCACCACCCACAGCCGGGAGUACCCCAUGGACAGCUGUGGCCGAGGAGAAGCCAGGGAUGAGGGGGAUGGGCCUCACCUCCCCACCAGCCUGGGAAGGGGGUAGGCCCCUGGCAAGUAGGUGAGAAGCUUUUUCAUUCACAAGUUGUCCGGGCUCCCCAUUCCUCUUUGUCAGGCCAGCGGGUGUGGGCAGUCGGGGGAGGCUGGGGUCCUGACACAACAGGAGUACAUCUGCUGGCCUAGGGCCUGGAGACCUUCUCCUACAGGUCGGGAGGCAGCCCUGGGCAGCGGGCAUUGCGGGGACUAAAGAGAAACAAGAGCAGGUUGUGUGCAGGGCACCCCAGCCACUCCAGAAACCCAAUGGGAGGGUGGGGGCUAGGACCCCAAGAAGCUGAAUUGGGGUGCAGUGCCGCCAGGCCUCCCCUGUAGGAGUCACUUUGGGCUUCCUGUCCCAACUUGUGGUGGGAGCUGGGGCAAGGUUCCAGGGGUACCCCGAAUGAAUGGGGCUGUUCCCAAGCUGGCCAGGGAGCCUGGAAGCAGAUGAGAUGGGGCCGCAGAGCCUGGUUUGCGGAGGGGAGAGGCAGACGUGUCCUGCAGCCCUCUCUUCUUCAGAGGCCCCCUGCGGGUGCUGAGGGGAGAGUGGCUUAGGCGUUGCACCCCAGGAGACUGAACUGGGUCAGUUCCCCCUUGUUUGCUGCCAGAGAAAUGGGGGUACCAUUGUCAGGGUGAGCUAAGGAGGCCCUGCUGACAUUGGCCCAACCAGGCCCCUCCUUUGCGGCUGCUGUGGGGACUUUCGAGAGCAGAGCACACCCCUAAGUGCGUGGAGAGGUAAGCACAGCUGGUGAGCACACGGGGACAGCGACGGAGCUCAUGGAGACCCAGGUGACCUUAAAACACCCCAGGGCCGGCUCCGGCCCCAGAGAGAUGUGGUCCGAGUAGAGGGGGGUCAGCAGUGACCUGGUGGGUGGGUGUAUUUGAGGGGUGCCUGUGUUGAAAGCUCUGCAGUAGAUUCUAAGGAGCAGCCAGGGCUGAGACUCCCGGUGCUGAGCCCAAGGCCCCUUUCCUUCCUGCAGGAGUUCAUCUUGGCUCUUGCAGCCCCCAUGACCCUGUGGCGCUGGGGGGCGGCUAGCAUGAUGCUCCCCAUUUUUCAGGAGGGAAGCUGAGGCUCAGAGACAUCAUGAGGAUGCCAGCUCAAGGCCCAGCCAGGCCUUGGUCCUCAGCUGCUGUCAUCCAGUAGGGUAAGUGGGACCCCCAGGAGGUGUUGGGGGACACUCCUCCCCUCCCCCACACUCACAGUCUGUUCACCGCCCAAGGCAGCAGGCUGGACUCGGUGCAGGGACCAUGGCUUGGCGUGGCCAGGUUGGAGUGGCCCCUGGGACUGAAAGCAGGGGGCGUGGGGGCUCUGAGGCGGGGCCGAGUGCGGGGACGUCCUGUGGCGGGUACCCUGCUGGGUCCUGGGUGGGGGCCACCACCAGGCAGCUGUGGGAACAUUCCAGACCACCUAGGAGUAGGGCCCCUUCACCGUUUGAAGCUGACUGUAAAAAACAUCUGACCUGUGUGCAAAGCUCAAGCCCAGAGGCCUCCAGGGUGUCCAGCCUCCAGGGUGCCUCCUACGCAGCCUCCACGUCCCCAUCCACUGCAGCCCCUGACCAUCGGGCACACCGUGGGGCCUUCGCUGGCCGCCGGGCCUCAGGUUCUGCUGCACCAAGUGAUUUUUAAAGCCCCAUCUGCCUUUCUCCACUUAUAAAGAACUUGGGACAUUU